rnacentral:lncRNA from 1 species
UCCAAGUCAGCAGCUAAUAAUCCAUGGCUAGGAGUCAUCAAACACGUGCAAGCAUGGAACCAGUUUCUAAUAUAAAAUUAUGAAAAUAAAAUGUAGUUAGGACUCUGUUGCACUUUGGAAAUUAAUCGUAGAUCAUGUUUUAGUUUUCAAAAAUGUUUCCUUUGGAUUUUCUCACUUGGAAGUAUAAUCACCCUAGAGAUAGGAAGCACAGAGAUACUUUAUAAAUACUAAAUGGUUCUUCCAAGAUUACAGAAAUAAGUGAUGAUGUUAAAAUUUCAGUUUUGGUUGUCUGUUCUCUUUGCAAUAUGCUCUGCUUUAAAAAGUGAGAUUUUUCUACUCUACAAGUGAAGAUGGCCAAAGAAGAGGUAAAGGGAUGAUGUGCUUUAAGAAUAGAAGGGAUGUGAAGGCCAACUGUAAAACUGUAAGGUUUAGUUCCAGUCUAAGGUACUUGGACCUUUCAUUCAUUGAUUGAAUGAAAGAAAAUGGUGCUUCAAUGAGGAUUUUUGCUAAUCAGGGAACAAUCAAAGGAGUUCUCUGUAAAGGUGCAUCUACACAAUAUGAAAAACAUUUGGAACAAAGAAAGAAUGGAAUCUGGGAGAACCAUAAAUUAUUAAAUUAGCAGUGUGGUCUAAAAUAAAAGGUUGUCUGAUUAAAAUAACUUGUUUUAUGCCCCUCAAUCAUACACCAGAGGUUUAUAUAUGAAACUUUAGAGGUAAAUACAUUUACAUAAAAAUGAGGUCAUUUUCCUUUAUUUACUGUUUUUAUAUAUCUCUAUUAUCCUAUCUCCUUUACAGUCAGAGUGAAGUUCCUACUUAGCUUCUCUUCAGGAAGAGAAGAGUAAUUACCCUUUUAGACCAGAGAGAUUAUUGCUACCUUACUGCACAAAAUGGAGAAGCAUGCACUAUAAAUCUACAAGGAAUCCUCUCCUAACUUCUGUAAGUCCUUUAACUGCAUUUUACAGUAAGUUCUUCUUUCUCUUUAAAGGCAUCUGGGCUCUUUUCAGCUUAAAACCAACAAAUACAAAAGAACAUAUCUUAAGGCAAUUAUAUACUGCUGUUUUCACAUGAUUAGGUCAACUUGACAAAUACUCAAAACUGAAACAGAACUCCAAACCAUGCUGCUCACAAGGACAUGCGCACAGCCUUAAAGGAUUUUUCAAGGUUCUGACAAGAACAUAAAAUAAGAAUCUCUCCAAAAAAAAAAAAAAAAAA